UCGCGGGUCGCUCGAACUCUGGUAUUGAUUGGUGCUUGCAUCAUGAUUUACAUUUGAGUGAGUGGCGAACUGGUGAGUAACACGUGGGAAACCUGCCCAGAAGCGGGGGAUAACACCUGGAAACAGAUGCUAAUACCGCAUAACAACUUGGACCGCAUGGUCCGAGCUUGAAAGAUGGCUUCGGCUAUCACUUUUGGAUGGUCCCGCGGCGUAUUAGCUAGAUGGUGGGGUAACGGCUCACCAUGGCAAUGAUACGUAGCCGACCUGAGAGGGUAAUCGGCCACAUUGGGACUGAGACACGGCCCAAACUCCUACGGGAGGCAGCAGUAGGGAAUCUUCCACAAUGGACGAAAGUCUGAUGGAGCAACGCCGCGUGAGUGAAGAAGGGUUUCGGCUCGUAAAACUCUGUUGUUAAAGAAGAACAUAUCUGAGAGUAACUGUUCAGGUAUUGACGGUAUUUAACCAGAAAGCCACGGCUAACUACGUGCCAGCAGCCGCGGUAAUACGUAGGUGGCAAGCGUUGUCCGGAUUUAUUGGGCGUAAAGCGAGCGCAGGCGGUUUUUUAAGUCUGAUGUGAAAGCCUUCGGCUCAACCGAAGAAGUGCAUCGGAAACUGGGAAACUUGAGUGCAGAAGAGGACAGUGGAACUCCAUGUGUAGCGGUGAAAUGCGUAGAUAUAUGGAAGAACACCAGUGGCGAAGGCGGCUGUCUGGUCUGUAACUGACGCUGAGGCUCGAAAGUAUGGGUAGCAAACAGGAUUAGAUACCCUGGUAGUCCAUACCGUAAACGAUGAAUGCUAAGUGUUGGAGGGUUUCCGCCCUUCAGUGCUGCAGCUAACGCAUUAAGCAUUCCGCCUGGGGAGUACGGCCGCAAGGCUGAAACUCAAAGGAAUUGACGGGGGCCCGCACAAGCGGUGGAGCAUGUGGUUUAAUUCGAAGCUACGCGAAGAACCUUACCAGGUCUUGACAUACUAUGCAAAUCUAAGAGAUUAGACGUUCCCUUCGGGGACAUGGAUACAGGUGGUGCAUGGUUGUCGUCAGCUCGUGUCGUGAGAUGUUGGGUUAAGUCCCGCAACGAGCGCAACCCUUAUUAUCAGUUGCCAGCAUUAAGUUGGGCACUCUGGUGAGACUGCCGGUGACAAACCGGAGGAAGGUGGGGAUGACGUCAAAUCAUCAUGCCCCUUAUGACCUGGGCUACACACGUGCUACAAUGGAUGGUACAACGAGUUGCGAACUCGCGAGAGUAAGCUAAUCUCUUAAAGCCAUUCUCAGUUCGGAUUGUAGGCUGCAACUCGCCUACAUGAAGUCGGAAUCGCUAGUAAUCGCGGAUCAGCAUGCCGCGGUGAAUACGUUCCCGGGCCUUGUACACACCGCCCGUCACACCAUGAGAGUUUGUAACACCCAAAGUCGGUGGGGUACACUCUUUUAGGUACCAACGCUACG
rnacentral:rRNA from 1 species